UACGGAGGAUCCAAGCGUUAUCCGGAAUUACUGGGCGUAAAGAGUUGCGUAGGUGGCAUAGUAAGUAGAUAGUGAAAGCGUUCGGCUCAACCGAAUAUCCAUUAUCUAAACUGCUAAGCUAGAGGAUGAGAGAGGUUAUUGGAAUUCCCAGUGUAGGAGUGAAAUCCGUAGAUAUUGGGAGGAACACCGAUGGCGUAGGCAGAUAACUGGCUCAUUCCUGACACUAAGGCACGAAAGCGUGGGGAGCAAACGGG
rnacentral:rRNA from 1 species